CAUUCUUCAGCCUCUUUAAUCUACUUUUAUCCGGGUGUAAUUGACAAAUAUUGUAUGACUAGAUUUAACCAAUCGUAUAUUAAUUGAUAGUUGAUCAGCUAAUCCAUACUUUUGAGGCAAACAAGUCUUUACACUACUACAAAAUGCGUGGAAUCUUGACGCCAUAGCCUCGACGCUGGUGGGUUACCGUCAAGGUAAAAUGAUAUAUCUCGUGGUUUGGCGACGCUUUUCAGGUCGAACUAAAUUCUAGACUUGGAAAAGCAUCGAGAUUUAGUGAUAUAUCACAUGUCUUGCACGUGAGAUAUUAGAUAAGCUGCACACAAAUCCAAAGAAAGGGAAGAUGAUAAACUACCGCUUUCAACACUAUUGAAAAAUUCCUCAUUUCUACCAGAUCUACUCUCCACCGCUGCAAAUCCGAAUUGUGUAAUUGGUUUGAAAUCUUCUUGCUUGAUGAUUUGAAUAUUUGAUAGAUGUAUCAAUUUCUUCCAUGAUUGGCCUAUUGUCAUACAGAUUUCAGGUAUUAUCUUAUUACUCUUUAGAUUUCGAUUUUAGGGUGUUAAUUUCUUACUUUUUUCUUCUGAUAAAUCUCUCCUAAUUUAUCAUGGAUGAAGAAGAGAUGAAGAAAUGAGUCAUGGAUUGUGAAUUCGUUGUCAUGAAGUAGUCAAUUCUCACCUUUACAUACGAGUAUAUUCUCUCCUUUAGAUUACUAUUUUUUAAACUGUUUGAGUAUAAAUUUCAUCGAUUUCUAAUGAUUUAGGUUUGAUUUUAUUUGUUUCGGAGAUUUAAGGUUUGAGAAUUUUGUUGUUAAUUAAUUGAUAAAUCAAUUGGGUAAAUAUGCUGUCAAGAAAACAUUUUUUUUUUUUUUGAAAACAAUAUUAAAAUCUGAUUUAGUAGCAAGUUUUUCAUUUUAAUUUUUAUAUAUUUUGUAUAAAUUUUGUUCUUUUAGUUUAUCUUGUGCAAAAUAUGUUAUAUCAGUUAUCAUAUAUAGCAAUCAUUAGGGUGAAGGUUUUGCUAUGAAAUUGUAUAUAUUUGCUCUUGCAUUUGUUUGUUGAAAUCAACUAUGAUUUUUAGGAUCAAGUGUAUGUAUUGAUGUUGUGCUUUGCUUGGAACCCGUGAUACUGAAAAAUUGGAAGAAUAUGGAGAAAAUGGACUUUUGAGAAAUGCAGCAACUUAUUGGUCACAAUCUAAACUUCGCCAUACGGCCUCUUGCAACAAGACUAUGGAGCAGCAAAAUUAAAGGUUGAUUGACGGUUUUUUGUGAAGCAUGUCAUAGAGCAGAUUUAUUCCACUACAAGUCACAACUAAAUCAUAAGUUGGAUUUAUAUUUGUUAUAAUAGAAAACUCCAUACUAUGAGAUAUUGUACAAAUACUAUAAUAUAUUUGUAUGCAAUAAAAAAAAUUUGGCC